GAUGAACGCUGGCGGCGUGCCUAAUACAUGCAAGUCGAGCGAAUGGAUUAAGAGCUUGCUCUUAUGAAGUUAGCGGCGGACGGGUGAGUAACACGUGGGUAACCUGCCCAUAAGACUGGGAUAACUCCGGGAAACCGGGGCUAAUACCGGAUAACAUUUUGAACCGCAUGGUUCGAAAUCGAAAGGCGGCUUCGGCUGUUACCUAUGGAUGGCCCCGCGUCGAAUUAGCUAGUUGGUGAGGUAACGGCUCACCAAGGCAACGAUGCGUAGCCGACCUGAGAGGGUGAUCGGCCACACUGGGACUGAGCCACGGCCCAGACUCCUACGGGAGGCAGCAGUAGGGAAUCUUCCGCAAUGGACGAAAGUCUGACGGAGCAACGCCGCGUGAGUGAUGAAGGCUUUCGGGUCGUAAAACUCUGUUGUUAGGGAAGAACAAGUGCUAGUUGAAUAAGCUGGCACCUUGACGGUACCUAACCAGAAAGCCACGGCUAACUACGUGCCAGCCGCCGCAGUAA
rnacentral:rRNA from 1 species